GGAUCAUCCAUCAAGCGGCUUCAUUUCAAUUGCAGUCUAACCAGGCAUGCAAGAUUAGGAAUCCAGUGCGGUAGUGUCUCAAAACGUCCUGCCAAGUAAAGCUGCUGAAGUAAGUGUGGAGGAGAAAAUAGGUGUUGAAGAUCAAGUAUCUCAUCUUCUUCCACAGAAAGUAGAGAUAAUGCGCGGAGAUUGCUAAGAUUUUCAAUAGAUGAGCACAGA
rnacentral:misc_RNA from 1 species